UACGUAGGGGGCAAGCGUUGUCCGGAAUCAUUGGGCGUAAAGCGUGCGUAGGCGGUUUGUUAAGUCUGCUGUGAAAUCCCCGGGCUCAACCUGGGAAUGGCAGUGGAUACUGGCAAGCUAGAGUGUGUCAGAGGAUGGUGGAAUUCCCGGUGUAGCGGUGAAAUGCGUAGAGAUCGGGAGGAACAUCAGUGGCGAAGGCGGCCAUCUGGGACAACACUGACGCUGAGGCACGAAAGCGUGGGGAGCAAACAGG
rnacentral:rRNA from 1 species